rnacentral:tRNA from 1 species
UCUAAUAUGGCAGAAUAGUGCAUCGGAUUUAAACCCCGAAAAUAAAGAUUUUNUUUUUUUAGAA